UAUGGUAAUUGUGUGCAGCCGCGGUAAAACGUAGGUCACAAGCGUUGUCCGGAAUUACUGGGUGUAAAGGGAGCGCAGGCGGGAAGACAAGUUGGAAGUGAAAUCCAUGGGCUCAACCCAUGAACUGCUUUCAAAACUGUUUUUCUUGAGUAGUGCAGAGGUAGGCGGAAUUCCCGGUGUAGCGGUGGAAUGCGUAGAUAUCGGGAGGAACACCAGUGGCGAAGGCGGCCUACUGGGCACCAACUGACGCUGAGGCUCGAAAGUGUGGGUAGCAAACAGG
rnacentral:rRNA from 1 species